UUAAAUAAAAUCAAUACUUUUAUUCAGCAAGGAUGUGUUAAAUUGAUAAAAAGUGAUACUAAAGAAAAUCUAUUAUUAGAAUAUAUAUUAUUAGAAUUUUAUUUUGAAUAAAUGCAGUUCUUUUUAACCUUUUAUUCAUCAAAUAUAUUAGACAGCAGAACUGUUUCCAACACUCAUAAUAAAUCAGAAUAUUAGAAUGAUUUCUAAAUGAUCAUGUGAUAGACUGGAUGUUACAUGUGACACUGAAGGCUGGAUUAAUGAUGCUGAAAAUUCAGCUUUGCGUCACAGGAAUAAAUUAUUUUUUUUAAUGUAUAUUCAAAUAGAAAACUAUUAUUUUAAGUUGUAAUAAUAUUUCACAAUAUUACUGUUUUUUCUGUAUUUUUGAUCAAAUAAAUGCAGGCUUGAUGAGCAGAAGAAACUUCUUUCAAAAACAUUAAAAAUAGUAAUGUUUCCUAACUUUUGGUCUGUACUGUAUAUAAAUAUAUAUAUAUAUGCGCCAUUAAACCAGAUUUGAUAUAGAUAGCUAUAAACAUUAGAAGUUAAGCUUGACAAGUUUAUCUUCAAACUGUUGCUCUGCCAUAAAAAGAGUUUACACUAAUGCUCAUGCUUCGCUAGUGGCAGUGCUUUAAAUCCGAGGUAGCACAGCUAGAAGCAUUAAGAUUGACUUACUUGCGUAGAUUGUUACUGUCCUGAGGAAAUAAUAAACUUGGCAUUAAUAAGGCAUCAUUGGAUUGAAGAGUCAGUUAGGAUGUACAUUUUCUGGAGAGUUACCCGUUAUAUUUUACCUCGUCAGUUUUCCCAAAAUGCAAUCUUGCAAAUGUAUCUUAUGAAAGAUGUUGCUUUAACUGAUGUGGUUAAGGCCAAUUAAAUGAACGUGAUUGUAAUUCUCUCUGCAGUCUUCACAUUUCCCUGUCAGCUAUCACAAGAAUGUCUUAAUAUGCAGUUGGAGUGUUUUGCCUAUACAGGAAUGUAUCGCCUUAUAUAAACAUUGCUGUUUGCUGGUGUCUAAUGACACUAAUUGAAAAUAAUUUCAAAGAGCCACACAUUUUAUACAGAUCGCACAUGUAAGAAACGUGAAGGAUCCUGGUUAGUCAACCAGCUAACCAGCUGUUAAACUAUGGUUUUGGUGAUGACUUGUAGAAUGCAUUAAGAUGUGUACAUUUCUGUGGGAUACACUAAGAAGGUCUUUGUCAUCAGCAUCUACUUAACUGAAUAAAGUUAAACUAUCUCAUUAAAAA
ensembl:lncRNA